AUUGAACGCUGGCGGCAGGCUUAACACAUGCAAGUCGAACGGUAACAUAAAGAAGCUUGCUUCUUUGAUGACGAGUGGCGGACGGGUGAGUAAUGCUUGGGAAUCUAGCUUAUGGAGGGGGAUAACUACGGGAAACUGUAGCUAAUACCGCGUAGAAUCGGGAGAUGAAAGUGUGGGACCUUCGGGCCACAUGCCAUAGGAUGAGCCCAAGUGGGAUUAGGUAGUUGGUGAGGUAAAGGCUCACCGAGCCGACGAUCUCUAGCUGGUCUGAGAGGAUGACCAGCCACACUGGGACUGAGACACGGCCCAGACUCCUACGGGAGGCAGCAGUGGGGAAUAUUGCGCAAUGGGGGCAACCCUGACGCAGCCAUGCCGCGUGAAUGAAGAAGGCCUUCGGGUUGUAAAGUUCUUUCGGUAGCGAGGAAGGCAUUUAGUUUAAUAAACUGGAUGAUUGACGUUAACUACAGAAGAAGCACCGGCUAACUCCGUGCCAGCAGCCGCGGUAAUACGGAGGGUGCGAGCGUUAAUCGGAAUAACUGGGCGUAAAGGGCACGCAGGCGGUGACUUAAGUGAGGUGUGAAAGCCCCGGGCUUAACCUGGGAAUUGCAUUUCAUACUGGGUCGCUAGAGUACUUUAGGGAGGGGUAGAAUUCCACGUGUAGCGGUGAAAUGCGUAGAGAUGUGGAGGAAUACCGAAGGCGAAGGCAGCCCCUUGGGAAUGUACUGACGCUCAUGUGCGAAAGCGUGGGGAGCAAACAGG
rnacentral:rRNA from 1 species